GACGAACGCUGGCGGUGCGCCUAACACAUGCAAGUCGAACGGUGAAGCGGGCUUCGGCCCGUGGAUCAGUGGCGAACGGGUGCGUAACACGUGGGCAACCUGCCCCGCACGCUGGGAUAACUCCGGGAAACCGGGGCUAAUACCGGACACUCCGUCCGAACCGCAUGGCUCCGCCGGGAAAGGUCCGCUGGUGAGGGAUGGGCCGGCGGCCUAUCAGCUUGUUGGUUGGGUAACGGCCUACCAAGGCGACGACGGGUAGCAGGUCUGAGAGGACGACCAGCCACACUGGGACUGAGAUACGGCACAGACUCCUACGGGAGGCAGCAGUGGGGGAUCUUGCGCAAUGGGCGAAAGCCUGACGCAGCGACACCGCGUGAGGGACGAAGGCCCUCGGGUUGUAAACCUCUUUCGGCAGGGACGAAGCGAUCGUGACGGUACCUGCAGAAGAAGCUCCGGCUAACUACGUGCCAGCCGCCGCUGUAAUAC
rnacentral:rRNA from 1 species